UACGUAGGGGGCAAGCGUUGUCCGGAAUCAUUGGGCGUAAAGCGCGUGUAGGCGGCCCGAUAAGUCCGCUGUGAAAGUCCAGGGCUCAACCCUGGGAUGCCGGUGGAUACUGUCGGGCUCGAGCCCGGAAGAGGAGUGUGGAAUUCCUGGUGUAGCGGUGAAAUGCGCAGAUAUCAGGAGGAACACCAAUGGCGAAGGCAGCACUCUGGGACGUGACUGACGCUGAGACGCGAAAGCGUGGGGAGCGAACAGG
rnacentral:rRNA from 1 species